rnacentral:lncRNA from 1 species
UGAGUUCUAAGAAGGAUUAAAGUUGAUGCAUGAAAAAAGUUUUAUUUUAUUUUAUUUUAUCUUUAUCCAGUUUUCAAGAAGGGUUAUAGGGUGUCAAUGGAAUGGUCACAUGUGGCUACUUUCGUUCUUUCGUUAAUGUUAAACAGGUGGAUAAGGAUGAUGGGUUGAAAUUAAACACUAAAAGAAGGAAGAGAAGAUAUUUGUGAAAAAGAAAAAUAUAGAAUCAAAGAAGAUAAACAAAAGAACAAAUGGAACGGUGUAUAUGAUAGGUUUUUCACCUUGUGUUGCAAAGGAGUACACAUGAAGAAAUCACAAAACAAACGUACAAUCAUUAAAGUAUUAAACAUCCAAGAUUUGAGGACAAAGGAAGAAGUAACUCAAGCCUAGAUUAAGGGGUAUGUUGAAAUGUAAUCUACAUUUUGGAUUAAUAUAUGGUAAUUUCAUAGCCGUGUUAUCGAAGUUAACUUCUGUGUAAAGAAAGCUUCAUGCACACACUAUACUUGUAAGUUCUUAUUUUGAGGAUCAACUCCAACAAACUUCACAAGUGUUUCAAUUUUCAAAAUUUAUCCUUUAUCAAAUGCCAAUAAGAGUAAAAGCUAGAGAGAAAGAGAGAAGGUUGCAAGCUGAGAUAGAAGAUUAGGAAACUAGGAGAUGCCAUUGAUUCUCUUCUAAUUUGUUUUGGAUAUGGUGUCCAGUUCUUGAUGAUAGUGAAUAUAUAGAGGAAGAGACUUUAUAUAAAGUAUAAAGGAUGACCAUGAAGUUUCGUGUAGACCUGGCAAUUUGCUACAUGACACGAUUAACACGAUACGAGUUUUUCGUGUAUGUGUUUUAGAAAUUCGUGUUUCGUGUUUAUUUGUGUCUGACACAUUUUAAAUUCAUGUUUCGUGUCUUACACGUGUCAAACACAAAUUUACAUGUUUAGACACGUAUAAGACACGAUACAAAAUCAUGUUGACAUGUGAUACGUACAAACACACACACACACACACACACAUAUAUAUAUAUAUAUUAGGGUUAAAUUUUAUAUUUACAAUAUAUUAGGGAACAAUUUCAUAAAACACAAUAAUUAGUUUAUAUCCCUAGCUUUAAAAAAAAGCCAUUAAAAACGUGACUAUUCGUGUCGUGUCACGUGUCACACGAAUUUUUUACAUGUCGUGUUCGUGUUUGAUACCCCAAACACGUUUUAUAAUUCGUGUCGUGUUUGUGUUUAACAAAUUCAUAUCGUGUAAAUUCGUGUGUGACACGAAUACACGACACGCAGACACGGAUUGCCAGGUCUAGUUUCGUGGAACCUUCCUUAUAACUUCCUUCGUCACUUCAACAAUGUGAAUGUGUUUAAUGGAAAAGUAACAAAAAAUAUAUUUAUUACAAGAAAUUAAGUGAACUGUUAUUUCUUUUUGAUGCAAUAACAUCAUUUAUUUUUAUAAACAACAAAUAGACAAAAAAAUGUUCACCUUUCCUUGCUUUUAUGUAACAUACAUUCAAAAUCAUGGAAACGAUAAUAAUUAUUUAUUAUUAUUAUUAUUUAUGUUGAAAUUUGGAGAUUGAUUAUAUAAAACUACUUAUCAAAUUAUUCAAAAAUAAAUUUUUUAUUUUUCUAUUAUAGUGAAUUUUUGGACAACAUAUUUCAUGUACAACAAUAUAUCAUGAUCAUAUGUCCAUAUGUUAACACUAAUUGUGGGAUAUCAAAAGAAUAAUAAUAAGUUUAAGAUGAUGAUUAGGCUGCAACAAUCGAAAGAAUGCAACUUAAGAAGAUGAAAACUCUGAAGAUUAAAACCAAUCGAGAUUUAGUAAUUAAAAAGUAAGGUGUUUUCUUUUUAGGAACAAAGUCAAUCAUGUGGUCUUUGGUAAAAAAAUAAAAUGAGUUUCUCUACAACAAAAGAUAAAAAGGAGUACAAGGCUUUAUUAAAAGAAGGGUAGUAUGGUCUUUUGACAAAAAAACAUGGAUGGGAAUUGUUUCUAACCUUAUUAAAUGAGGAAAUCGUACAAGAAUAUAAUAAUGAAAAGAUCACUAUUUAGCAUGUGCCAUGGUGUACUAUUUGAUUUAUGCAAAGAUGAUGAUAACGUUUUAUCUUGAAAACAAAAGCUUAAAGUGGUAUUUCCAAAUACGAAAAGCUUUUUAUCUCUCUGUUAAAUUAUUAUGAAAACCUUUGUAUAUUGUAUUAUUUACUAGAUAUUUGAUAUAUAAUCUAUAGAAUACAAAUAAAACCUAAUCGUUAGUGAUCAAUUAGUAAUUAUUCCUCUCUUCGAUUAUUGUAAAAAAUGUGUACAUCAAAAUUUAUAAUAUCGUUAGUGAUCAAUUAGUAAUUAGUAGACAUACAUACAACAAAAAGUAAAUAUAAUCGAUAUAAGAGCAAUUAGGAGAAAAGUUUUUACUUGAUUUUUUCCAAAAGAGUCAACAAGAAAUGCAAAUUUAAAGAUCUACUACUAAUAUAUAAAAUCAUGACUAAAUUAUAAUACUCUUUUCCUAAGGAUUACUCUGUAUUUAUGAAGUUACUUCAGUUUAUUAAAAAGAAAAUUUUAAAUAAAUUUACGAAGAGAGAUAUAAAUUCAAUAGAAUCCUUAAAUGAAAACCAUAAAAGGGGCUCAAUUGAAGACAUAAAUACGAACAGGAUAUAAAAAUAAACAUUUUAAGAAAGAGGAAAAGAGCUCUUGAAAUGAGGAAGUAAGAUCACGCACCUAAUUGUUGAUUAACAAGGAUAUAAGUUGAUAAUGGUGGAAUUAGCUUUGAAAGAAAGGUUGUGGACUUGUGGGGUUCAUUCAGGAAUUUCGUCGAACAGGUCAUGGACAGAUAAAUUAACAAAAAAAAAAAUACACGUUCAACCAUGAUCAUCGAACAGCCUAACCAUGAGUUGACGCAAGAAAGAAACUUGAUUAGAAAUACAAACAAGGCCGGUCGAUUUCCGGCCAAAUAUUAAUCGAUCUUACUUGUGAGUGGUGACCGGAGAGCGGAGACCCGGAUCUCCUUUUUUUCCCCAUGUGUUCUUCCUGCAACCAUGUCCACCACCCGUUUGAUCAAUUGCAAUCUGGACACAGUUAUCGAUAACACUGAUUUUUCAUAUAAAUGCUUCCACAGAGGCUGCUGAUGAGGACGUUUGGUGCAUCGGUGGCGAAGUUAAGUUGGUGGGCUUUCAGAAGAGAGAUUGUUCGCCGGCAAAGGAAGUGUAGAUGAAGAGGGAGAAAGGAAAGCAGAUGAAGAUGAAGUGCAGUGUAUCUCAGAUGAGUGGGGAUUAAAUUCCCCUUUGUAGAACCAAACACGUGAAUAGAUUCUACUUUUUAGCGUUUCUUUUUAUGUUGGAAAUGUUUUUUAAA